UGGGGAAUCUUGGACAAUGGGCGCAAGCCUGAUCCAGCCAUGCCGCGUGAGUGAAGAAGGCCUUAGGGUUGUAAAACUCUUUCGCCGGAGAAGAUAAUGACGGUAUCCGGAGAAGAAGCCCCGGCUAACUUCGUGCCAGCAGCCGCGGUAAUACGAAGGGGGCUAGCGUUGUUCGGAAUUACUGGGCGUAAAGCGCACGUAGGCGGGUUUGUAAGUAGGGGGUGAAAUCCCAGGGCUCAACCCUGGAACUGCCUUCUAAACUGCAAGCCUGGAGGUCAGGAGAGGCGAGUGGAAUACCGAGUGUAGAGGUGAAAUUCGUAGAUAUUCGGUGGAACACCAGUGGCGAAGGCGACUCGCUGGACUGAUACUGACGCUGAGGUGCGAAAGCGUGGGGAGCAAACAGGAUUAGAUACCCUUGUAGUCCCUGAGCGGGCUGGCAAGGCGCAU
rnacentral:rRNA from 1 species